UACGUAGGGUGCUAGCGUUGUCCGGAAUUACUGGGCGUAAAGCGCACGUAGGCGGCUUUGCAAGUUAGAGGUGAAAGCCCGGGGCUCAACUCCGGAAUUGCCUUUAAAACUGCAUCGCUAGAAUUGUGGAGAGGUAAGUGGAAUUCCGAGUGUAGAGGUGAAAUUCGUAGAUAUUCGGAAGAACACCAGUGGCGAAGGCGACUUACUGGACACAUAUUGACGCUGAGGUGCGAAAGCGUGGGGAGCAAACAGG
rnacentral:rRNA from 1 species